UUAUAUCUAAACAUCAUUGCAGCUUUCUAAUCUUCAUUUUUAUUUAUGUGUAUUUCAUCUGUGUUGCUAAUGAUAUCGUCAGUUUUUAUGAUUUUAUGGUGUUAAGUAAAGCAUCCUUUUGUUUCAGGCUAAAAUAGAGCUUUGACAAAUACUUUUUCUAGUUUAAAUGAAUAACAACUCUCAAGGUGUAUUAGCUAAAUUAUCUUUUUGUUUUGAUAGUCUUUAGUCAAUAACAGAUUUUUAAAUUGUUACGAGUCUACAACACUUAAAUUCAGCGAAAUUCAAUUAAAAAAAUCAUGUUAUAGAAGACAAAAAAAUAUCAAUAUUUGUUUUCAAUAACGUGGCUUUGAUAGCAAAUCUGAGAGGUGCAAAUGUUUAGCUUGAUUUAAGUACUACAUAAUAAAAUACAUUGUUGAAUAGUCAUUUUGAUGGUUGUAAAUUUAUUUAGCACACUCAUUUUUAUAUACUUUUAGAUUGUUUACCGUUAAACUCCUGUCCCUAUCUAACCUAGUGGGUUCAAAAAGAAGGGACCGCGCUGGAAACAUGAGUGGAUUAAAAGUAUCAGCCUUUUUUGAAUUAAUAGUCGAAGUGGUAACCAGCUAGAAGUCGUAACCUGCUCGUAUGAAAGGAUUUCUCGACGUGAAAUUGUUAAUUUUAUUCAACAACGCCAAGAAACAGAGCUCGCUCAAGAAACAGAAAAGAAAGAGA